CUGUAUUUUUAUAGCAUACUGAAUACACAUAUAAUGAUUUGCUGAUAUACAAAUAAAGCGAGACUGCAGGCGAGACUGCGAGAGCCUAGUGGUAUACGUCCUGGAGUGACUGUAUAAUAUGCAUAAUUUAUUGCUUUAUAAAAUGUCUUAAUUAAUAACAACUAUUGUAUUUACUUAGAAUAGUUUCAUAUAUUUUUAUUGAAAAGUAUAAAAAUCAUAAUGAAUACAUAUUCAGUUGUGGAAUUUAUUGAUGACUGUACAAUUGAAGCUGUACCAACCAAUUGGAUAAAAAAUGGUAUGUGUGCAUGGCCUACUACAAAAAAAAAUUCUACUCUUAGAAAGCUGAUAGAAAGAAAGUCUUCCAAAUGACAUAGAGUAUAAUCAAUACAAAAUUAAAGUAUUAAAAACAACUAAUUCAAUAAUAAAAGCAAGAGAAAUGACUAAAGAAGGACUUACAAAAACUGAUAUAUCAUCUGCUGAAGAUUAUGAUUUAAAACAUAAACGUAAAUGCAAAUAAAAGACAAUACUUCCAAUUACUAUGGAAUCAUUAUUAUGUCCUACUUAUUCAGUGUCUGAAGAUGAAUCCAAUGACAAUUGUAAUGAUGAUAUUGUUACUACAUUUCAAGUCACUGAGCCACGAUUAAAUGGUUGGUCACCUUCUCCGAAAAAAUUAAAAAUUAAGUUUAAUAAAAACAAAUUUAAUGUAUUUAAACUAAACAUGAAACAUAACAAUAACAAUUACUUUUCAGGUUUUCAAACUACAGACUAGUAAAAAUAAAUAUUUUUAUUCAAAACCCUCAGUUUCCAGACAACUUUCAUAUGCUAGCACUGACAAGAAAAAAAAAAUUAUGUCAAAACCUUUAACAAAUGAUAAAACAGAUAUUGAUGAUAAUAUAUCAUUUGGAAGUGACGAUUCCAUAACAGCUCUACCAUCUGAAUCAUAGUCAGAAGAAAUUCAGAAAAAUGUAACCAACCAGAUGAAUAUAAUAUCAUCAAAUAUCAAUAUAAAAACAAAAACUGCCGCAAGCAUCCUGCAUCACACGUGAUGGAUACACCAUAACAACAACCACAUUAUCUACUUAAGAUCGUGAUUUUCAAAAAGAGGUGCUGUAUAGAUUGGCUUAUUUAAAACAUGAACUUAAAAGACUUGUCAAUAAUCAAAUGGACAUUGCACAAAGAAUUGAAUCAAUUGAAACACGUCUUGAAGUUAAUAGCAUUUCAAAUACAAGUAGCAACUGUAAUAAUACAUCAUCAUUAAAUGAAAUAAGUAAUUGCAUUUUACCAUUGGAUAACACAACAGAACGAUUAUUAUAGUUUUUUACUAUAUUUACAAUAGUCAAUAACCGUGCGUUGUCUGUAUAUCUAUUAUAUUAUUAAUAUUUACGCGUUCUCGUCUUGCGAACUAUCGGGACACCAUUGGAUGUAAUCUAGUAUAUUAUUAUAUCAUCGACCCUCGUGCGACAUGCGUACCUAAGCAAUAAUAGUAUAGUUAAUGUAUAAUAUAGUAUAGGUACUUAUCGUUUUUUAAUUACACUGCAAAUAUACAAAUAUAAUAUGGAAGAUUCUCCGCAAUCAAGGAAUAAUAUAAACACCAACUAAAAAUAAGACUUGGGUUAUUGGUUAUUGGAUAUUUUACAAAUGAAGAUGAAAAUACAGUUGACUCCAUUCAAAAUCAUAAUCAUUAUACAAAUAACGAUUAUUCAGUAGUACCAUCGAUAUGGUUGACUUAUAAUGACGGUAAUUAUGUGUGCAAAUGGCUGACGAAAAAGUCAACAAAUAUUUCAAACCUUGUUAAAAUGUACAAAGACUUAACCAAAGAUUUCAGCUACCAUUUGUUUUACCUUGCAAGCAAUAUUU